GUCUUUCGAGUGGCCCAGGCCACCGUGUCCCAGGGCCACUGCAGGAGCAAGUCAGGAGGCCCAGGAGGUGGCGCUUUCUUCUCAACCAACUCAGACGUGCUGCACCGGCCCCUGGCUGGAGGCAGGCCCAGACGCCGGGCCCUGGGGAGGACAAGAGCUGCGACCAGGCCAUCAGGGCAGCCCCACCACCUCCGCCCAGGUGGACACAAUAUCUUUAUUUUAUAUUGAUGUGGUGCUGAGGAUGGAACCCAGUGUCUCGUGCACGCUAGGCGAGCGCUCUACCUCUGAGCCACAACCCCAGUCCUCCCCAGUGUAUUUGCGACUGGAAUAGUGAAGAUAAAUCUAUAACCCAGGGAGACACCACGGACAGCCUAAGAUCCACUGUCCACUCUGCACUGCAUGCCAUACAAUAAAAAGCACACACUUGCUUAUUAUGUUUA